UGCUUCUGAAGCAAGGUUCUGAAAACCGAACCGGUCAUUAAAUCGCUUUAGUUACUGAUUUACUGGUUUAUUGGUCUAAUCGGUCUAACCAGUGGUUCAACCGAAAAAACUGUUUUAGAAUAAAAUAAUAUCAAUUUAAAAUUUAUCAUCAAAUACAAUCAGUGAGCAAAGCCGAUCAAUCAAACACUGACUGAGCAUUCUGUUCUGAUUCUGUGACUGGGAAGCAACAAAUUCAGCAACAAAUGCAAGUUACAGCAACAAAUUUAACAAAUCCUAGUAAAGUCUCGAGUUACAGCAAAAAGGCAAAUUUAUUGAUUACCAAUUCAGCAACAUGCAGAAAUACAGGGAGAAGGGAAAUCUGGAAAAGAGAGAACACUAAACCAAAACAUUAACCAAUAAUUACACUAAACCUGCAACCAGCAAUUACAAAACAGCAACAAAUAUUAGUAUAUUAUAAAACAUUCCAAAACAGUGAUGACACUAAACCUGCAUAAUAAAUAAUCUCAAAGACAAUGAUCACCAAUAUCCAGCAAAUAAAUAAUAAAUACACAACAACAAUUUAGCAAACAAACAAGAACAAGACCUAAAUAGAAAAUCCAACAAAUUAAGUCGCAGCAACCAAACAAUUUGACAAAUUAAAACAACAGCAGCCCAACAAUUUAGCAAAUCAACUUAACAAAUUCAAGAACAGAAAAUCACAACAAAACAAAA